AUCGCUUCUCGGCCUUUUGGCUAAGAUCAAGUGUAGAAUUGUAUAAAGUUUAUAUAUUAGCAAUUGUAUAGUUAUAAUCAAUGCAGAUUGAUGCAUUGAUAAAAUCCAGAAUUUACAUUUU
ensembl:snRNA LOC120099036 U2 spliceosomal RNA